rnacentral:rRNA from 1 species
AGUGAACGUUGGCGGCGUGCCUAACACAUGCAAGUCGAACGAAAAACCGAGGAGCUUGCUCCUCGGGGUCAGUGGCGAACGGGUGAGUAACACGUGAGUAAUCUGCCCUUGAGUGGGGAAUAACUCCGCGAAAGCGGAGCUAAUACCGCAUAAUACUCUGCAGCUUAAGCUGUCAGAGUCAAAGCCUUCGGGCGCUUAAGGAUGAGCUUGCGGCCUAUUAGCUUGUUGGUAGGGUAAUGGCCUACCAAGGCUUUGAUGGGUAGCCGGCCUGAGAGGGUGUACGGCCACACUGGAACUGCGACACGGUCCAGACUCCUACGGGAGGCAGCAGUGGGGAAUUUUGCGCAAUGGGCGAAAGCCUGACGCAGCGACGCCGCGUGGAGGAAUAAGGCCUUCGGGUUGUAAACUCCUGUCAGAGGUGAAGAAUGUCCCAUGGACUUGACGGUAACCUCAGAGGAAGCCCCGGCUAACUACGUGCCAGCAGCCGCGGUAAUACGUAGGGGGCAAACGUUGCUCGGAAUUACUGGGCGUAAAGGGUGUGUAGGUGGCAGGGUAAGUCAAGGAUGAAAUCCCGAGGCUUAACUUCGGAACUGUCCUUGAAACUGUUCAGCUUGAGGGUAGUUGAGGAAAACGGAAUUCCCGGUGGAGCGGUGAAAUGCGUAGAUAUCGGGAGGAACACCAGAGGCGAAGGCGGUUUUCUGAGCUAUUCCUGACACUAAGACACGAAAGCUAGGGGAGCGAACGGGAUUAGAUACCCCGGUAGUCCUAGCCGUAAACGAUGGGCACUAGAUGUUCCCACUUAUGUGGAGUGUCGUAGUUAACGCAUUAAGUGCCCCGCCUGGGGAGUACGGUCGCAAGGCUAAAACUCAAAGGAAUUGACGG